UUUUCCGGUGCCUCAUGAAGUCGGGCGCCUUUCCCGGAAGCGGGAAGGGCGCCCGUUUUGCAUUGCGCCGUUCGACACGACGCGGAAGGC
rnacentral:tRNA from 1 species